rnacentral:rRNA from 1 species
AGAACGAACGUUAGCGGCGCGCCUAACACAUGCAAGUCGCACGAGAAAGGGCUUCGGCCCCGGUACAGUGGCGCACGGGUGAGUAACACGUAGAUCAUCUCCCCUCGAGUGGUGGAUAACUCUCCGAAAGGAGAGCUAAUACAGCAUGAGACCACGGCUUCGUUGAAGCUGCGGCCAAAGCAGGCCUCUACACGUAAGCUUGCGCUUGAGGAUGAGUCUGCGGCCCAUUAGCUAGUUGGUAGGGUAAUGGCCUACCAAGGCUAAGACGGGUGGCUGGUCUGAGAGGAUGAACAGCCACACUGGAACUGAGACACGGUCCAGACUCCUACGGGAGGCAGCAGUGGGGAAUCUGCGCAAUGGCGAAAGCUGACGCAGCGACGCCGCGUGAGCGAUGAAGGCCUUGGUUGUAAAGCGUCUGGUAGGGAGGAAAGAAUAAGGCUUAGGCUAAGUAACUACGAA